GCCUGGGUGGCUCAGUUGGUUGAGCGUCCGACUUCAGCUCGGGUCAUGAUCUCACAGUCUGUGAGUUCGAGCCCCGCGUCGGGCU
rfam:Felis catus isolate Cinnamon breed Abyssinian chromosome D1, whole genome shotgun sequence.